AGAAGCAGAGAAGAAGGAGAAAGCCGAGUUAACCACUCACCCCUAGCUUCCUGCUGCGGAUUUUCACGUAGCCCUGCUUGACUAUGUCGUUAAAGUUGGAGGCCAUGGCCAGAGCGGUCGGGUUCCUCUGCUGGGCGAUCCGCUUCUCGGAGUCGACAACCGCUGUCCGCCGCCCGGUCCACGCAGGUCUCGCAUCCAGCCGGCCGCCGCCAGCAGUCGCGCCGCCGCUGAUUUCUCCCCAGGCUCCUGCUGGCGCGGACCCGGGGUCGAUAGCUGGGCCGCCACACACGGAGACAAGGGAUCCGGGCCCGGAACUGCUCAGCAGCACCAGCACCUCGCGACCCGUCGUCACCUUCGCCCCCGGCCACAAGCGGAGCACCGCGACCCGCGCCACCGCCAGUUGUACCCCCCUCCGCGCCACCGCCCCCGGCAGCACCCACAGGCUGGCGCCUCACUCGGCGGCGCACAGCUGGCCGGAGCGCACCAUCGCGGCUCCCCGGCGCGGAGAAGGGGGAGGGACGGCGGGGCGGGCCGUUGCGCCCGAUCGGCUCCCUCCCCCUUGCCCGCGGGGUGGCAGGGCUGGAGGAUGCUGGCAAGAUGCACUCCAUCACUCUUUUCUUGGGCAAGGAUCUUCGCCUGCCACCCGCGCCUAGGAUAUGGCUCCCACAGUAGCCCUGUGCUGGCACCACUCGCCCAGGCUUGGAUUCCUAAGGACAAGGCUCCUCAUUCCACCGCUGUUAAUCUGGCCUUCCCAAACUGGGCAGUGUGGACAGAGCAUUGAGGGGGAGACUUCACAGGUUCGCAAGAGGCAAAGAAGAGCGAGACAAUUGUUUAUUUCAGAGAUGGUGUCUACAAUACAUUUUUUAGUUCUAGGCACACGUGGCCUUUCCCGGUCUUUGCCCUGUUGGGAAGUGUAAAUCGAAGCCCUUCCUGGUGCACACACAAAGAGACCAACCCUGCGCAUGUGUCUAAUCCUCAGGCUGCUGAAGUCAGAAGGAAUCCUGGAGGCAGCAGGUCACAGAUGUCCUCUAUAGAAAAGGCUGUGGUGCCUGGAUUGACAAUCGCGUUUUUUGGUUAACUAGGGCUCAAUGUACUACUGGCAUUUCAUCUAUUCAGGAAAUAAAAGGCAGAACGGUGCUCCAUAGAUGUGCUGAAAUGUUCAACUUGU
rnacentral:lncRNA from 1 species